AAGGCGAAUCCCGAAAAGCCUGUAAUAGAGUAAGGA
rnacentral:ncRNA from 1 species